AUGCACGCUGGCGGCGUGCCUCAUACAUGCAAGUCGAGCGCACAGACGAGGAGCUUGCUCCUCUGACGUUAGCGGCGGACGGGUGAGUAACACGUGGAUAACCUACCUAUAAGACUGGGAUAACUUCGGGAAACCGGAGCUAAUACCGGAUAAUAUAUUGAACCGCAUGGUUCAAUAGUGAAAGACGGUUUUGCUGUCACUUAUAGAUGGAUCCGCGCCGCAUUAGUUAGUUGGUAAGGUAACGGCUUACCAAGGCAACGAUGCGUAGCCGACCUGAGAGGGUGAUCGGCCACACUGGAACUGAGACACGGUCCAGACUCCUACGGGAGGCAGCAGUAGGGAAUCUUCCGCAAUGGGCGAAAGCUUGACGGAGCAACGCCGCGUGAGUGAUGAAGGUCUUCGGAUCGUAAAACUCUGUUAUUAGGGAAGAACAAAUGUGUAAGUAACUAUGCACGUCUUGACGGUACCUAAUCAGAAAGCCACGGCUAACUACGUG
rnacentral:rRNA from 1 species